UACGAAGGGGGCUAGCGUUGUUCGGAAUUACUGGGCGUAAAGCGUGCGCAGGCGGUGAUGUAAGACAGAUGUGAAAUCCCCGGGCUCAACCUGGGAACUGCAUUUGUGACUGCAUCGCUGGAGUGCGGCAGAGGGGGAUGGAAUUCCGCGUGUAGCAGUGAAAUGCGUAGAGAUCGGAAAGAACACCAACGGCGAAAGCACUCUGCUGGGCCGACACUGACACUGAGAGACGAAAGCUAGGGGAGCGAAUGGG
rnacentral:rRNA from 1 species